ensembl:sense_intronic Gm15338 predicted gene 15338
CUUCUCCGAAGGGGUCUCCAGUGUUACGCCUUGGUUCUGAUCGCUGUGAACUUCAACUGAACUGCCAACAUGUGAAAUCGGGGCUUGCCCCCCAUGAAACAAGCCAAGGCAAAGGUCUCCUGUUAUCAUCAUCACUAGGAAGGUUCUCAAGUCAAUUCUGAGCUCAAGGAAAACAGAAGGAAUGGAGGACAGCAGGAGAACAAGGCCCUUUAAAACAACUGUGCAAAGCUCAUGAACUCCCAGAGCCUGAAACAGCAUGCACUGGGCCAGCACAGGUCUGCACCAGGUCCCUUGCAUAUAUACUGUAGCUUUCAGAAGCAACCGGAAAUGCUCAUCAGGUAUCCUGGGGCACUCAGGAAAUGUGGGACUACGAGAAGAAAGGGAACAGGUGUGGUGUGCUCAACUGUGAUCCCAGCUACCCUGGCGUUGAGGAAGGAAGAGUCUUAGUUCCAGACCAGCAAUUGGCUACAACACAGGUUCCUGUACAGCCUAGGAAGCUUAUCAGGACUUUAUCUCAAUAUAAAACUGAAUAAAAAGUGGUGAUGCUGCUCA